GCUGGGCGUGGUGGUGCAUGCCUGUAGUCCCAGCUACUCAGGAGGCUGAGGCAGGAGGAUCACUUGAGCCCAGGAGGCAGAGGCUGCAGUGAGCUGAGAUUGUGCCACUGCACUCCAGCCUGGGCAUCAUAGGGAGAUCCUGUCUCAA
ensembl:misc_RNA Metazoa_SRP Metazoan signal recognition particle RNA